UACAGAGGUCUCAAGCGUUGUUCGGAUUCAUUGGGCGUAAAGGGUGCGUAGGCGGCGCGGUAAGUCGGGUGUGAAAUCUUGGAGCUUAACUCCGAAACUGCAUUCGAUACUGCCGUGCUUGAGGACUGGAGAGGAGACUGGAAUUUACGGUGUAGCGGUGAAAUGCGUAGAUAAUCGUAAGGAAGACCAGUGGCGAAGGCGGGUCUCUGGACAGUUCCUGACGUGAGGCACGAAGGCCAGGGGAGCAAACGGGG
rnacentral:rRNA from 1 species